rnacentral:rRNA from 1 species
GGAAGGGAUGUAUUUAUUAGAUAAAAAACCAAUGCCUUCGGGCUCCUUGGUGAUUCAUGAUAACUUAACGAAUCGCAUGGCCUUGCGCCGGCGAUGGUUCAUUCAAAUUUCUGCCCUAUCAACUUUCGAUGGUAGGAUAGUGGCCUACCAUGGUUUCAACGGGUAACGGGGAAUUAGGGUUCUAUUCCGGAGAGGGAGCCUGAGAAACGGCUACCACAUCCAAGGAAGGCAGCAGGCGCGCAAAUUACCCAAUCCCAAUUCGGGGAGGUAGUGACAAUAAAUACUGAUACAGGGCUCUUUUGGGUCUUGUAAUUGGAAUGAGUACAAUUUAAAUCCCUUAACGAGGAACAAUUGGAGGGCAAGUCUGGUGCCAGCAGCCGCGGUAAUUCCAGCUCCAAUAGCGUAUAUUAAAGUUGUUGCAGUUAAAAAGCUCGUAGUUGAAUUUUGUCUUUGGCCGCUCGGUCCGCCUAACCGCGUGCACUGAUGUGGCCGGAGAUUUCCUUCUGGCUAACCUCAUGCCCUUUACUGGGUGUGUUGGGGAACCAGGACUUUUAC